CCUACGGGUGGCAGCAGUGAGGAAUAUUGGUCAAUGGACGAGAGGCUGAACCAGCCAAGUAGCGUGAAGGAUGACUGCCCUAUGGGUUGUAAACUUCUUUUGACAGGGGAGAAUAGAAGACGGUACCUGUCGAAUAAGCCACUGCUAACUACGUGCCAGCAGCAACGGUAAUACGGAGGUGGCAAGGGUUGGGCGGAUUUAAUGGGUGUAAAGGGCGGGUAGCCGGGUUGGCAAGUCAGAUGGGAAAUCCUGCGGCUUAACCGCAGAACUGCAUUUGAAACUGGUGAUCUUGAGUAGUGGAGAGGCAGACGGAAUUCCUAGUGUAGCGGUGAAAUGCGUAGAUAUUAGGAGGAACACCAGUGGCGAAGGCAGUAUGCCGGACAGCAACUGACGGUGAGGCGCGAAAGCGUGGGGAGCAAACAGGAUUAGAUACCCGGGUAGUC
rnacentral:rRNA from 1 species